rnacentral:rRNA from 1 species
GAUGAACGCUGGCGGCGUGCCUAAUACAUGCAAGUCGAGCGAACGGACGAGAAGCUUGCUUCUCUGAUGUUAGCGGCGGACGGGUGAGUAACACGUGGAUAACCUACCUAUAAGACUGGGAUAACUUCGGGAAACCGGAGCUAAUACCGGAUAAUAUUUUGAACCGCAUGGUUCAAAAGUGAAAGACGGUCUUGCUGUCACUUAUAGAUGGAUCCGCGCUGCAUUAGCUAGUUGGUAAGGUAACGGCUUACCAAGGCAACGAUGCAUAGCCGACCUGAGAGGGUGAUCGGCCACACUGGAACUGAGACACGGUCCAGACUCCUACGGGAGGCAGCAGUAGGGAAUCUUCCGCAAUGGGCGAAAGCCUGACGGAGCAACGCCGCGUGAGUGAUGAAGGUCUGCGGAUCGUAAAACGCUGUUAUUAGGGAAGAACAUAUGUGUAAGUAACUGUGCACAUCUUGACGGUACCUAAGCAGAAAGCCACGGCUAACUACGU